CCCAAGGGAAGGAGUAUGAGAGACCACAUUUCCUAGGAUGCCUUGCGGCCCGUCCAGUCUAACUUCCCCCUUAGGCGGAGGGAAGAAUACGGGGAAGCUUGGUAAAAACAGUUAAAUGGAAGGGGUGUCGGAAGCGGAGGGUCUGAGGUUCACGACUCCUAGAAGGGGCGGUGAAUGAAAGGCUCUCGGUGAAGAAGGUCCAGAACCCUUCAGAUCAACUUACAAGAAGUUCAAUAUGUAAAACAGAUAAAUGUGCUUGUAAUGAGAAAGGAUGAGAGUUAUUCCAACCUGCCAGCACGUCAUACCCCCAUUCCCACCCUCACCUCAGGGAAGGCUCCAGGGAGUACUUUGAAAACCAUUGGAAAAAGUCAUCCCCUCUUAAAUGACAAAAUGCCAUGUCUGUAGUAUGCUGCAUUAAAAUUUCUACCCAUUCCAA